CCGCUUCGGCAGCACAUGUGCUGGAGUUGGGGCGAUGCAGAGAGGAUUAGCAUGGCCCCUGCGCAAGGAUGACACGCAAAUUCGUGAAGCGUUCCAUAUUUUC